ACCUGGGACACGGAGGUUGCAGUGAGACGAGAUUGCCCCAUCGCACUCCAGCCUGCAACAGAGCGAGACUCCUUAACAAGGGAGGCUAUUCUGACACCUGCUACCAUGUGGAAGAAGCUUGACAAUAUUGACCAAUCAGCCAGACACAGAAAGACAAGUCCUGUGUGAUUCCACUUCGAGGAGGUCCCUCGAGUCACCAGAGUCACAGAGACAGAAAGUAUAACGCAGCAGCGUACACUGCCCAGCCCGGGCUUCGUUUCCACUUUCUGUGACCUGGUGUGGCGGUGAGUCUUACUCAGCGUGCUUGAGCCGAAAUGUCACCAGCUGCCCGCCGACCUGGGAUGACACCUUGGGCCGUUCUGUUUUCUCCCGUUCACCGGUCAAGACGCUGAAACUCGGGAGCUUUUGGCGGCCGAGCUGCGUGAAGGGACUUCAAGAGACGAGGAGACGGACCCCGUGGAAACCUCUCCCACCUGGCGAUUGUAGGGGAAGGAGCUUCUAUUCUUGACCCAGCCCACGACACGUGCCGGGGCUGUCAGCGCCGUGAGAGGCACCUGUGUCUCCCCGAGCUGAGGACGGAUGACAUUUGUACCUACAGGGGUAAAAAAAGAUAAAGCAAACACGGAACAGCACACUCCUCCCGGCCUUCCUUCUUCUGACACCGUUUUCCUUUAGAAGAUCUGAAACUACAAGUCAGGACAUGACACGUGGAGCGUCCCAGGCACGCGCAGCCUCUGCUGUUUGAUUUCCGACGUGAGUCUAUAGUCUUUGGAAAAAAUCUGUGGUUGGCCGGGCGCGGUGGCUCACGCCUGGCAUCCCAG
rnacentral:lncRNA from 1 species